rnacentral:lncRNA from 1 species
CACCCUGGCCCUCUGGAAUCAUAUCGUGUGCUAGCCACUACAUACACAUAUAUGUAUUGCAGGGUACAUGGUAAUAUACAUGCAUAUAUGUAUAUAUAUCUCCUGAACCAUUCUGUGGCUUUGUAGUUGAGAAGGCUGAGACACAGAGAGGUACAGGGACUUGCUGCAGGUCACAUAGUUAGACAUAGCAAAACUGGAAUCUGGAUAAUAUUCAUCUCAUAUGGAAGUCUCCACUGGCCUAGGCUACCUCCCUAGAGAAACUUUUGAGAUCUCUAUCUAGAAACAAGAACUGAACCAACUCCUUAUUUACAGGUAGGAAAAGCACCCAGUGACACCCAGUACUGUCUCCUGGGCUUCGCCAACACCAGCUGGGUAUUCAGGUGCCCUGCGUGCAUGUCAGCUUAUUAAUGUGCCUGCCCUUUGCCUCUUCACCCUCAUGUAUUACCUAAAGGCUGAGAAGGUACAGUGCCUGCUUCCUGCCUGUGACUCGUUUCUCAGGUCCUCUUCUCUAUGGCUGGCUGCCUUCACUGAAGGUUCCAAGUCCUCUGAGAAAAAAGAAGUGUUGGUUUUGAUAUUUGGCAUGAUUUGUCCUUGGAGGCCUGUCUCCAAAGGAAGCCUUGCCUCUCCCAAGAGCCUUUUUUUCUAAUGCAUGCGCAUGUCCUCCUGAAGCAGAGAGCCUAGACUUUGUACUUGCACCUCACCUCUGCAUUCCCCACCUCCCUUGAGUUGACUUUCUCUUUCAGAUUAUUGGGAUCACCAAAGAGAGUGACUGCACCUGAAAGCCUGGGGCCUCCACACCAAAUCAGAGGAAAAAAAUCAGUCUUCUUCGGGCAUGGCAGGUAAUGGCUCAUUAUGGGGGAGUUAGACUUUUAAUCCAAGAUUGAAUAUAUCAUUUGAUAUUUUAAAAAUCUAAACCUAAACAACACAGCAGUGUGUACAACCUAUUUACACCGUGGAUCACUCUCUGGAAUUAUCUUGUUUUGAAUUUUUUUAGUUUUCUUGUCCGUUUUUAAACCCCCCCGCCCCUCCCCCAAGGCAAGUUCCUCAAGAAUGGGCCAUACCUACCUUGUCUUUACCCUGCCUCCAGUUCCAGAAAUCAUCCUGUGACAUAGUAGGUCCUCAAAAAAUAGUUAUUCAGUGAGUGAGUGAGUGAGCCCCAAUUUUAAACUACACUUGAAGUCCCAAUUUUAAAAUUAUUUCUUUACUUUUUUUUUUUAAUAAUUCCAUUUUUACUUAUUUGUUUGUUCCUUGUUCUUUUUCUUUCCUUUUUUCCCCCCCAGUUCUGGAGAUUAAAUGUAAGGCCUCCUGCAUGGUAAGCAGAAUCUCUGCCACUGAGCUCACCCCCGGCCCCAUCUGUACUUUUGUGUUUGUUUAUCAUGCAUGCAGGCACACACACCUGCACACCUAUGCGGUGAAUUUUGCAACUAUUUUUUUCACUCAACAAUAUAACAUGGAUAUGCUUUCAUUUUAGAAUAUACGUAUUCACUUUAUUCUGUACAUUCUACUAUAGAUUUGGAUGUUUUGAACUUGGUACUACUGAUGUUUGGGGCCACAUAAUCCUUUGUUGUGGGGAGAUCCCUGUGCCUUGUAGAAUGUUUAGCAGAGUCCAGUGACUCUGCCUGCCCCCACCAGUUGUGACAAUCAGAAAUGGCUCUGGAAUUGGGAAAUAUCCUCUGACUGGCAACACUGCUCCUAGUUGAAAAACAUUGGUGCAGGAUUUCAUUCACACCUAUUUUCCUGGUAAGCCCCCAAGUAGAAUUCCUUUAUAACAUUGGAGUCGGAGAAAGCCAAGAUUAAUAAUUUACUUAAUUCAUGGAAUUCAGCCUUUUACAUUCAACUGAAUACCCUGAAACUGUCUGCUUCAAGCUAAUACAUGUAGUUUCUCUUCAAGAUCCUACACUGCAAAAUUGAAGUCAAGCAUUUAACAUUUUAGUCUUAGAUGUUACCAGAGCAAAUCACCAAGUUACCUUCUAGAAGAAUUCAGUACAUAAUCCCACAGACUCUCAUGAAUGUGGACGAUACUGUGUUCAGAAGCCUCUGCUGUUCGUGAUACAGCUAGUGCCUAUAAAAUCUGUUCUUAGAGUCCUCUCUGCUUUAGCAUUGCCACCAAGAUAUGGCUUUCACCUAGUCCUGCCUUCCUCAAGGGACAAGGGGACAGUUCCUCGUGUUUUGUUUAAGUGCCCAGUUGCCAUGAACCUGGAAGAUGGAAGUAGAGUGUGCCAGCCUGAAAGGGGCCGUAGCUGUAGGGUUGGCACAAAAGAUGAGUUCUGAUAGCUUUUUAUUUUGGUGUUGGGGAGUCAGGCUAAAACUUCUCAUAGAGCUAACCAGAUUAUAUCAGGCUUUUAAAGAUUUAAUUUUGUAGUUUCGUUUUGAGAAGACAUAAUUUGGCCUGCUGUGUUUGUAUGUACAGGUUGAGCAUCCCUAAAGCUCCAAAACAUUUUUCAGCUCAUGACUCUAAAAUACUCUAAAAUCCAAAAUUCUCUGAACACAAAAUUUCAGAUUUUAGAGUAUUUCUGAUUUUGGAUUUUCAUAUCAUGGAUGCUUUACCUAGAAAGUCUACACAAAUAUUCCAAAAUUUGAAAAAUAUGAAUUCAAAAAUACUUCUGGCAUUUCAGAUAAGGAAUACUCAACCUAUAUUUGCACACUCAAGUAAAGAUGAACUAUUAUAUAACUGAAUUUAAAAAUGUUAAUUUUAAAACUGUCAUCCAGUAAGAUCAUUGGUAUUGCUUAGCUUCAACGGCAGUGAUGCGUCUAAGCAUAUAAUUUUCAUCUUAGUCUUCAUGGGAUUUUGACAAAGGAGAAUGGCUGUUCAGUAGGAAAUGUUCCUUCUCCUGAUGUAGGUAAGAAAGUGCUCAUUGUCUAUGCACACCAAGAACCCAAGUCUUUCAAUGGCUCCUUGAAGAAAGUGGCAGUGGAUGAAUUGAGCCAGCAGGGAUGCACCGUCACCGUGUCUGACUUGUAUGCCAUGAACUUUGAGCCAAGGGCCACAAGGAAAGAUAUCACUGGUGAGUCACGGCAUAAAUGCUUGGUUAUUUUUUAACUUUCUUCUUUGUAUGCUUUAAUUUUAACAUGUCUUAAAAAGCUAAUCAUUGCACAAAAUAUGUAAAUCUCAGGUCAGCAAGGAGUCCAAAGUGCCAGGCUCUUUUCCCUCCUAUCCCCCAGCAACCCAGUUUCUCUGUUCCCAAGGUAGUCAGGAUGCAGUUUUCUCUGUGCCCUUUCUGAGAUAGUCCUUGCUAUAUAAGUAGUCAUGAGAGUAUUCUUCAUUUUUCCUCUACAUUUUACAAAAACAGAAGCAUAUUAUGCUCAUCAUUUUACAAGUUGCUUUUAUUUUUCUUAUUGUAGAAAGUAUUCUGUUGUAUGGCCAUGUCAUGGUAUCUCCCUACUAAAGGACAUUUUAGGUUGUUUCUGAUCUUUUGCUAUCAAAAACAAUGUUGAAGUGAACAGUCAGAGUCAUAUGUGUUUUCCCACAUAUGCAAGUUCGUCUAGAAGAGUGUGCAUUUUAAUUUUCCUAGAUAAUGCCAAGUUGCUCUCCAUAAAUCUCAUACCAGUUUACACUAUUGUCAGCAAUGUUUACAAAUGUUAUUUCCUCACUGUCACCAAUAGUAUUGCCAUUUUUUUUUAAUAAUUGCCAGUCUAGC